rnacentral:rRNA from 1 species
UCUGGUUGACCCUGCCAGUAGCAUAUGCUUGUCUCUGAGACUAAGCCAUGCAUGUCUAAGUAUAAAUUAAUUUUUACGGUGAAACUGCGGACGGCUCAUUAAAUCAGUUAUAACCUACUUGAUCGUGUGACUUUAUUCGGAUAACCCUAGUAAUUCUAGAGCUAAUACGUGCUAAAAGCCUUAACUUCCAGCAAUGGGGGAAGAGGUGUAUUUAUUAGAAACUAAAACCAAUCAGCUUCGGCUGUUUGAGAUGAUUCAUAAUAACUCGGCAAAUUACGGGAAAAUUCCUGUGAUGAUUCAAACGGAUUUCUGACCUAUCAACUUUAGAUGGCAAAGUAGGGGUUUGCCAUGGUGACAACGGGUGACGGGGAAUUAGGGUUCGAUUCCGGAGAGGGAGCCUGAGAAACGGCUACCACUUCCGAGGAAGGCAGCAGGCGCGCAAAUUACCCAAUGCUAAUUCGGCGAGGUAGUGACAAGAAAUACCAAUGUAGGACCCAACGGGUACUACGUUUGGAAUGAGAACAAUUUAAAAACCUUAACGAGGAACAAUUGGAGGGCAAGUCUGGUGCCAGCAGCCGCGGUAAUUCCAGCUCCAAUAGUGUAUAUUAAAGUUGCUGCGGUUAAAAAGCUCGUAGUUGGAUUACGAAGUGGUGUUUAAAUGUCAUUUUGGUUUGUUUGUCUUUCGGGGCAUUCAGGUCAACUUGGCUUUUACUCACUGUUGUCAUUGUCUUUGCCCAAGGUAUAUGCCUUGUGUGCAUGGCAUUGACCUUCUAUUUUAUGGUAAUGUUGUAUCUUUCGGGGUACAUUCAUUCCAUAUAGUUUACUUUGAAAAAAUUAGGGUGUUUAAAGCAGGCGAAAAGGCUUCGGAAUAUAUUAGCAUGGGAUAAUAGAAUACGAUCUAGGUCGUAAUUUGUUGGUUUCUACGGCUUAGGUAAUGAUUGACAGGGAUAGUUGGGGUCGCUCGUAUUGAGUUGUCAGAGGUGAAAUUCUAGGAUUAACUCAAGACGAACUAAUGCGAAAGCAUUCGGCAAGGAUGUUUUCAUUAAUCAAGAACGAAAGUUGGGGGAUCGAAGAUGAUCAGAUACCGUCGUAGUCUCAACUGUAAACUAUGUCGACCGAGGAUCCGGUAGCGUUACAUGGAUGACCUUCCGGGCACUCUGUGAGAAAUCAUAAGUAUUUGGAUUUCGGGGGGAGUAUGGUCGCAAGGCUGAAACUUAAAGGGAUUGACGGAAGGGCACCACCAGGAGUGGAAUCUGCGGCUUAAUUUGACCCAACACGGGAAAACUUACCAGGUCCGGACACAGUGAGGAUUGACAGAUUGAGAGCUCUUUCUUGAUUUUGUGGGUGGUGGUGCAUGGCCGUUUUUAGUUGGUGGAGUGAUUUGUCUGGUUAAUUCCGUUAACGAACGAGACCUUAACCUAUUAAAUAGCUGCGCGAACCCAGGUUCUUUAACCAUUCUCUCCUUCGGGGGGGCGUGGUAUCA